rnacentral:piRNA from 1 species
UAGGAUGGAUGGGAGCCUGCACCAUGC